CCGGCGCCCCAAUGUCGGCCUACUUCGCAGGGAUGUUGUGAAAGGGAAGAUGACAGAACGCACACCAUGAUCACAAGCUUGGCCUUCUCGUUGCCCUUCUGCCUCCCCUGCAACUGCUGCAAGCCAUCCAAGCCAUAUCUGGCAGGCAACUUGACAGAGAGCUCAUGAAGCACUUUGGUGGCAAGCCUCUAAAGGCGAAGAUCUGUAUGUGUGGAAGGAGGAUUUUGGCUUUGAAUUGGAUCCCUUGACCACGUAAACCAGCCUCGUUCCCUGAGGCAGACCCCCAGAGUAUGUGAAAUGGCAUUCUGUGGAAGACCUGGCUAGGGUCUUUCAUCUGGAGACCCUCCACGGAUCCAGGUAACACAUAAAUACAGCCUACCGCCACAUAGUGAUUUGAGGGCCCUUGUUGGCAUGGUGGCAAUCCAGCAGCACGUAUGGCUCCAGGCAAUGGGGCUACUCCAAGAAACUUUGGAAUAGGAGAAAAUUCAGACGCUGUUUGGACUGACACAUUAACCAUCGAUGGCAGGACACAAACACUGCGUAAAGGCAUGCCUUGCACAAGAGGGGAAAUAAGUAUUCUGAAGACUUCUCACAAAAGUCCUUUAAUUCCACACUAUUACAAAACAUAUCCAUUUCAAUAAUGGCUCAGUAAUGCUGACCAAUCUCAGGAACUUCUUUGCCAGUGACUCUUUCUUCAACACUUUGACAAAUGCAAGGCAAUUCUGCAGGCCUAAAAGUAAGACAGA